rnacentral:rRNA from 1 species
UACGGAGGGUGCAAGCGUUGCUCGGAAUUACUGGGCGUAAAGCGCACGUAGGCGGCGCCGUAAGUCAGGGGUGAAAUCCCGGAGCUCAACUCCGGAACUGCCCUUGAAACUGCAGUGCUAGAAUUCUGGAGAGGCGAGUGGAAUUCCGAGUGUAGAGGUGAAAUUCGUAGAUAUUCGGAAGAACACCAGUGGCGAAGGCGACUACCUGGUCUGGCAUUGACGCUCAUGUGCGAAAGCGUGGGGAGCAAACAGG